GGUUCAAGUUAUUGACCACUUUUUUGGGAGGGCUGAAGAAAUCACUAGCAAAUGAACCUAGGACUGGGCAUCUUCUUCGAAGACAUGAUCUUUUAGAGGUCAAAGAUGGUACAUUUUUCAUCAUUUCAUUGCCAGAAACUGGUAGAGUGCCAGGCUUGUAGUAGGUGGCUCAUCACAUCUUGGAAGGAAGGAAGGAAAUCUUAAAGAUUGUGGAGAAAAAUGCUGAAUGUAAAUAUAAUAUCGUCAAAUUCUAAAUAAAUACUGAGAGAUAUUGGAAAGAUUUUUGUGAAACAUGAUUCAGGCGUGUGAAAACCUGCAAGCAUAAGAAUAGAGAAGAAAGAAAGGUCGGCUGGGCUUGGUGGCUGACACCUAUAAUCUCAGCACUUUGAGAGGUUGUGACUGGAGGAUCCCUUGAGCCCAGGAGUUUGAGACCAGCCUGAGCAACAUUGUGAGACCCUGUCUCUCCGAAAGAAAAAAAAGAAAAAAGAAAGAAAAAAAAUUAGCCGGGCUUGGUGCGUGCCUGUAGUCCCAGCUACUCAGGAGGCUGAGGUAGGAGGAUGGCUUGAGCCAGGCAGAGGUUGUAGUGAGCCAAGAUCAUGGGAAAAAAAAAAAAAGAAAAAGAAAAAGAUAAAAGGAAGACAGUGUGGCGAUUCCUCAAGGAUCUAGAACUAGAAAUACCAUUUGACCCAGCAAUCCCGUUACUGAGUGUAUAACCAAAAGAUUGUAAAUCAUGCUACUAUAAAGACACAUGCACACGUAUGUUUACUGUGACACUAUUCACAAUAGCAAAGACUUGGAACCAACCCAAAUGUCCAUCAAUGAUGGACUGGACUAAGAAAAUGUGGCACAUGUACACCAUGGAAUGCUAUGCAGCCAUAAAAAACGAUGAGUUCAUGUCCUUUGUAGGGACAUGGAUGAAGCUGGAAACCAUCAUUCUGAGCAAACUAUCGCAAGGACAGAAAACCAAACACCGCAUGUUCUCACUCAUAGGUGGAGACUGAACAAUGAGAACACUUGGACUCAGGGUGGGGAACAUCACACACCGGGGCCUGUUGUGGGGUUGGGGGGGGAUGGGGAAGGGAUAGCAUUAGGAGAAAUACCAAAUGUAAAUGACUAGUUAAUGGGUGCAGCAAACCAACACGGCACAUGUAUACAUAUGUAACAAACCUGCACGUUGUACACAUGUACCUGAGAACUUAAAGUAUAAUUUAAAAAAAAAUUAAAAGAAAGAAAGAAAGAAAGAAAGAAAGAAAGAAAGAAAGUCAACCUGGUUGAAGAGAUUAGGGUGAGUGGAGGAAGGGAGGCAGUUUGUAGUAUUGAAGAGGUCAGAAUAUGUUUGAUUGAAGAGCUGAGAUGUUGCAGCCAUAAAAAAGAAUGAGAUCAUGUCUUCUGCAGGAACAUGGAUGGAGCUGAAGGCUAUUAUCCUUAGCAACUUAAUGCAGGUACAGAAAAGCAAAUGCUGUAUGUUCUCACUUAUACGUGGGAGCUAAAUGAUGAGAACACAUGGACACAAAGAGAAGAACAACAGACAGUGGGGCCUACUUGAGGGUGGACGUGGGAGGAGGGAGAGGAUCACAAAAAAUAACUAUUGGGUCCUAGGCUUAGUACCUGGGUGAUGAAAUCAUCUGUACACCAAACUCCCAUACAUGAGUUUACCUAUAUUACAAACAUGCACAUGUACCCCUGAACCUAAAAGUUUUUUUUUAAAAAAGGAACAUAGAAUUUUAAAAGAUAUAUAAGGUCAAGUCCCCCUUUAAAAAAUUUUUAGAUUCAACAGGAAUACAGUAAUCUGAUCCAUUGCUAUUUUAAAAAACAAUAAAAGGUGAAAUGUGAGCAAAAUCUUGAAGUAAGACAGUGAUUCGAGGGAUAUUUUUGGCUGAAAUGUUCCAUGCUUAGAAAAUAUCUAGAAAAAUGGCCUAAGGCAAGGCCAUGCCUGGCAUCUUUAAGGAAUAUUGAGGAGGCCAGUGUGGUCGAAAUUGCAUGAGGGAGGGAGAGAGAAGGGUUUAGAGAGGAAACCAGAGGCCAGAACAACCUAGGCCCUGCAGGCAGCCACCAGGAUUCUGGAGUAUGCACCCAGUUUCCCACAAAUCUUGAUAGCAUAGGUUUUAAAACCAGGUAGGUCUUAGUCUGAAUCUCAGCUUUGAUCUUCCUAUGCUACCUUGGAUAAGUUAUUUAAUUUCUCUGAGCCAUUGUUUUCUCAUCUAGGAAAUAGGUACAGUCAUAGCACCUACUUCAUAGGGUUGUGGUGAGGAUUUGACAGAACACUUAGCAGGUAGGGGAGCUCAGUAACAUUUUGUGUAAAGCAGCAGGGGUCCAACAACUCAGAUUUCUGCUCAGACAAUGUCAAGGCUUGAUGUCACCCUAAUGUCACCCACAUCUGGAAGUAGUUCUGUGGGAAGAGACAAGGGGUUUCACUUGGCUUUCUAUAGCUACCCUAUAUAAAAAAGAUCUAGCAGAGAAGUCAGGGAAAAAGGGCCUCUGUCUGUCUAGAUGAACAUUAUGGGGCAAACAUAGAGGAAAUCAUCAAGCCAGCCAUGGUGAGGGAUGGGAGCAGGAGUAGUGAGCCUUCUCCUUUCUUAAAGAGCGGGAGGAUAGUUCAUGCUUUUUGCCAAGCUUUACUUUUUCCAAGUCUGGGCAUCCUUUGGGCUGCUUCCUUGUCAUCUCUCUCCCUACAGCCUCAUUGCAGGGAAACUACCCAGCUCAGUACGCUUUAGACCGUGGUUCUUAUAGUGGAAGUUCAGCUUUUGCUUCUCCUCCUCCUCCAGUGUCUGUAGGAAAAUGGUUUGUCAAAGCAGAUUCUGGGUGGCUCCUUCAGCUAACGAUAACUGCAAAUGCAGUGCUUAGAAAAGGGAAAAUAAAGAGCCUUCAUGAUGGAGAUGUCAAGGCAUAGAGGCUGGGUAUAUGGCUUUGGAGUUUGUGUUUCUGCUCUAGAAGCAGAGGUUCAUGGCUAUUGAUGCAAAUAAUUCUUUGCUGAGGGAUGCACCAAUGUUUAGUGGAUGAAUCUCUUGCAUAAGAAUAACCACAGCUAAUACGUAUAUAGCAUUGUCAUGUCCAAAACACUCUUCUAAAUGCUUUAUAUUUGAGAAUUUUCAUGAGCUUCAAACAAAGCCAUGGGUACAUGAUUAUCUUCAUUUUGGAGACUGUGGGAUAGGAAGCUUGAAUCAUUUGCAAAGUCUUAACAGGUAAUAGAUGAUGGAGGGGCUGUCUGAAUCAGAGAACCUGGUGGCAAAGUUAAUGUUUCUAACCACUUGGAUCUAUUGUUGCUCUCAAGCUUUGUCUUGUCUUUCCUUCAUCUUAUCAGUAUUCUAACUGGGAAAUGUUGCAGGCUUUGCUCUGACCUUUGAUUUAUUCUCUGUCUGCUCUAGAUGAUGUUUAACAGUAUCAUCUAAUACUAACUUGCUAACAAAUUGGUUUAAUUAGAUGAUAUAAACACUACACAAUGUUCUGAAACCAGAACACUAACACAUUGCAACCAGCCUCGCAGUUACUUUCUAAACAUACAUUGCAAAGGAGCUGCACAAAAUUCCAUCAGAAGUCCCAUGCAGAAGUUCUUUUGGCUUAAAUUGCUUGAAAUCCUAUUUAGAGGGCAAUGAAUUGUCCUUCCAAAAUAUUACAGCACUGGGUUCAUUGCCACCUCAUAACACAGGACAAUCCAAAUCUCAUUGGAUUGAGUCAUAGGCAAUCAAUUCUGUGAUAAUUGUUCUCUAGGCCUCGGCUAUUUCCAUGACUAUAGCGCACUCCUACAAGUUUCUUAACAACUAGCAAUUUAUAGUACUGAUAUUUUGUUGGGAGAAGGGUUGUUACUUGUAGGAGCUCUCUGGGAGCUUCAAAACAAAUCAAAAUGUAGUUUUUACUCUUGGCUUUUCCCAGUAACUUCAUCCAAGAGACUCAGAAUUUGGGGUGUGGAAAGAAUGUGAGAUUGGAAGCAGCAAUUCCAGGUUUAGUCUUAGCUCUGUCUUCAGACAGAUCCAUUCUCUUCAGGGGGUCAAGGCAUUUGAUGAGUCACAGGUCUGGCAAACUGGUAUUCUUUCAUUCAUCCAACAAAAAUGAACUGUGUAUACUGGGGGUUAGUUCUGCCCUAGACAAGGGAACCAACUAGAGAACCAAACAGACAGAAUUUCUUGCCCUGAUGGCACUUAUAUUCUGUGGCAUACUGUAUUUCCCCCAUAUAGUUACAGCAAUAUUUCUGGUCUCUCAUGUUUUUUUACUACCUUGUCACUCCCCAAUCUAAAGUGGAGUCUGUUGCCUCUCCUCUUGUUCCUGGAUGAGCUUGUGACUGCACCAACCAAUAGAGCAUAGUGGAAGUGAUGCCAUGUAAGUUCCAGGUGAGGGAUCAGGGCCUGGCGCUCUAACUCCGCCAAGAUACUUGUCCUUGGGACUCCACCACCAUUCAGUGAGAAAGCCCAAACUCACACAUGUGCAGCGACCACACAAAGAGGCCCAUAUAGCUGGCAAUGGGGUAAGUGCUUACUAACUAUUUGCUAUUAUGAUCUUAGCAUAAAGUAGACAAAAAAGACAACAUUUUUAGCAUGAAAGCAGAAAUACACAUUGUAAGUUAAAUAACAAUCUAAGGAAAUAUAUAUCAGUUAUCCAAAUGACUGGCUAAAAUUAUAAGCAGUCUUGCAAUUCAGAGGAGGGAGUGAUCAUCGUGGGUGGGACUGGACAAGGUAAGCUUUACUGAAGAGGGACUUGUAAUAGACCUGCUGGAUGUGGAAAAUUUAAGCAUCCAGGAGGGCUUUCCAAGCGUAGCAUAGCAUAAGCAAAGAUGUGGAGGGUGGGAUGAAGAAUAACAAUAGCUACCAUUUUUGGAAUCAGACAUAAUAUAGUUCUUCUUGUCAAAUACCAACCUUGCAUCUCUGAGAGAGAUGAGCAACCAGGCUCAGAGGGGUUAAUUAACUUGUCAAGGCCACACAGCAGGCAAAAACAGAGUUUUGAUGAAAACUCCAGUCUUGGUUCUAAAGGCCCUUUCCACUACACCAUGGAACUUAAUGACCAUGAGAAGCCUAGUACUUUAUCUUACAGGUGUAUAAUUCCUAUGCUUUUGUUUGUAAAUUUAAAUUUUCUUUAAAUACCUAAGAAUUGACUUAAAGUAAUAUUUUAAAUAUGCAACUGGAAAUGUAGCGAUGGACUAAAUACAUCAGUAGUGUUAGUAAAUAGGAAAGUUGAGCAGCAUGUUACUCAGAAACUGAUGGGGAAUAAAUAUUUAAUAUUCCUCAACUCAAAUAUGGCAUGGAAAUGAUAUAAAUGAAUAGUGUUCCAUGCAUUUAAAUGAAAACAAGGAUUUCAGAGACACUGCCAACCUUUCAUGAGAAUCUGUCUCUAAUUAAAGACAUUUUCUGUAGGUGUAUCCCUCUGCAGCUUGCAAGCGGGCGCCCAGUCUGUCAGGACUGAGUAAUUGGCAUUUUACUUCCCUUCUCCUUCUUGGCUUACUUGGAUUUCAUUUACCAUCAUUUCUUAUGAUUGGCAAUAGAUGACAUGGGCAGGCUAAGAAUGGGAGGAUGUGAGGCAAGAGAAAGAGCCCUGGAGUGGCAGGGAAGAGCGCUUGUUUCUGGGUCUGGGUCUGUCUAACUCACUGUGUGAACUUAGACUGGUUAUUCAAGCUCUCCAAGCCUCAACUUUCUCAAUUAUAAAAUGAGUCAAGGUAGUUUAACUCUGAGAGACAAAAUACGUUUAUAUUAUGUGCCAAUUCCAGUUACAGUAGUUUCUCCUUAUCUGCAGGGGAACCGAUUCAAGACUCCCCCAGUGGAUUAUUGAAACUGCCGAUAGGACUGAAACCUAUGUGUACUGUUUUUUUUCCUAUACAUACGUAUCUAUGAUAAAAUUUAAUUUACAAAUUAGGCAUAGCAAGUGAUUAACAAUAACUAAUCAUAAAAUAAAACAAUUAUAAUACACUGAAACAAAGGUAAAAUAAGGAUUCCCUGAACACAAGCACUUUAACACUUUCACAAUCAAUCUGAUAACCAUUAGGUGACUAUGGGUGGGUAGCAUAGACAGCCUAGAGCUGCUGGACAAGGGAAUGAUUCACACCCUGGGUGGACGAAGUGGGAUGGCAUUAGAUUUCAGCACAUUACUCAGAAAGGUGCACAGUUUAAAACUUAAUUUUUUUUAUUUCUGGAAUUUUUUAUUUAAUAUUUUUGAACUACAGUUGACUGUGGGUAACUGAAACCAAGGAAAAUGAAACCAUGGAGAAAGGUGGACUUCUGUGAUUGAUAGCAGCUGCCUUGAGGGUAGUGCUGAGAAGGAUUCUGAGAUAAGCAUUCUGAAAAGGGUUCUAAGGUGCAUAUGUCCUAAUGUAGCAAUGAGGUUAGACAAACUAGGUAGGUAGGAAGUGGACCCCAGUCAAGGGCGAUCUGUGAGCAAAGGCAAAGGGUAGAAAUUUGCUACUGGUGCUUGGGGUAUAAUACGUAAACUGAUAUGAUGAGAUUGACCCUUUUUUUCAUACUUUCUUUAUAAUACUCUCCAUUUGCAUUUAAUUGUGUUUUCACAUCUGUUUCUCCUUCUAGACAAUGAGCUGCUUAUGGACAGGAGCUAGGUAGGUCUCAUUCUAGAGAUGCAGUGGGAACAAUAAGGAAGGUAAACACCUUAUUUAUGCCUUGGUUUCAUCAAAUGUAAAAUGGAAGACAAUGUUACUCAUGUCCUAUAUUUGUGAUGAAGACAACAUAGGUUAGUGCAGAUAAAUCGCUUAGCCUAGAACUUGGCCCAUGUCUGGCACAUGAUAAAUGUUCAUUUUAUUAUUAUUAAAUUUUUGAGUGUCCAAUAAGCUAAAACAGAUCUGGAACAAGGUAAAAACACAAACGUUCUUUGUACAAAUACAUGCACAAAUAAAUGCAUGCAUGAAUGUAAGAAUGAGCUGUGGAAUGUAAGUUGGGAGUUCUUCUAUUUCAGGUCAGGUCCAGGUUCUGGAGGGUCCUGAAUAUCAUAAUGUGAAUUGUGUCCUGAAGGAAAUAGAACCAUUAAUGGUUUAGAGCAGGAAGAUAGCACACAGCAGCCUUGGGUCACCCUCAAUCCACAUGGGAGGAAGGAAGAAAGGUGGACACAGUACUAAAGGGACCAAGGGAAUAGGUGAGGAUUGAAGGGUCCUGCCAUUCUGCACCUGUUGAUGGCCUCCCCAGGGUCUUGCUGGUCUUACACAUGCAGCCAGUAUUGAACUGGAACCAGCAAUUAGGGAAGACAAACCAUUUCUAAAGAAGGUUUUUUGGUUUAUUUGUUUGUUUGUUUUGUUUUGGUUUUUUGUUUUUAUUAUACUUUAAGUUCUAGGGUACAUGUGAACAACGUGCAGGUUUAUUACAUAUGUAUACAUGUGCUGUGUUGGUCUGCUGCACCCAUUAACUUGUCAUUUACAUUAGGUAUUUCUCCUAAUGCUAUCACUUCCUCUGCCC
rnacentral:lncRNA from 10 species